rnacentral:rRNA from 1 species
AAUCAACGCUGGCGGCGUGCCUAACACAUGCAAGUCGAACGCGAAAAGGGCUUCGGCUCUUAGUAGAGUGGCGAACGGGUGAGUAACACGUGGGUGACCUACCUUCGAAUGGGGGAUAACGUCCCGAAAGGGACGCUAAUACCGCAUAACAUCCUGCCUUUGAACAGGUGGAGAUCAAAGCCGGGGAUCGCAAGACCUGGCGUUUGAAGAGGGGCCCGCGUCUGAUUAGCUAGUUGGUGAGGAACGGCCCACCAAGGCGACGAUCAGUAUCCGGCCUGAGAGGGCGGACGGACACACUGGGACUGAGACACGGCCCAGACUCCUACGGGAGGCAGCAGUGGGGAAUUGUUCGCAAUGGGCGCAAGCCUGACGACGCAACGCCGCGUGGAGGAUGAAGGUCUUCGGAUUGUAAACUCCUGUUGCUCGGGACGAAAAGCUUCGACCUAACACGUCGAAGUCUGACGGUACCGGGUGA